UGGAAGCAGGACUGGAUCACCACUGGCUCUGAAGCUAUGAACAGGAAUUUAGUCCAGAGUCCGGGAAAAGAAGUCGUACACUUACAAAUAAGGAGUCCCUGAAAAAGUAUCCUCAUACAAUUCAUGUUCCAUUUUUCUUCACUGUCUCCUCUCACUUAAACCUUAAUCCUGCUUCCAGUGAAGUCACUCGUAAAAAUUCCAGAGCAGAAUCAGCAUGCUGCCUUCAGCAAGUUACUAUUUUCUUAAUACCAUAAUUUCAGCAGUGUAAAAUAUUAUGCAAAUUAAGGGGUACUACUAUUGAAAUCUGCUAAUUCUGCAUGCUUGAUAACAAUGAAUCAGGAUUCUGGGUGUUUGAGUAUUUGCUUGCAUGAACAAUUGCAGCAUGUCUAUUGGCAGUGCCUUGCACAUCCUCUGUUGUAAACCUGAAUUUAUUCAUUGAAGUACUCUUAAAGCAGCUAUUACACCCUUUAAAUACUUGAUAAAAAGAUGUCUGAACAACCAUUUUUUUAAUUAAAGCAUAAUGUUGAGUAUAAGAAAAGUGAAAUGAAUGAGACUAAUAACACUGCAAAAUACAACAGUUUGGGUCAUUCACUCUACUGGAAGCAGUACCUUUUUUAGUACACUGAACUAGUGGUUAUGAAAAAUGCAACAUUCAGCAGCAGGAAAAUACUUGCAUAAGAUGUUUCUUAUUAAUUCUCUAAUGCCUUUGUCUUAACAGUGUGACUUGUUGACAAGUUUCUGCAGCAACUUUGAUAUCUAAUUCACAGUGCAUAUGUUCUGCAUUCAAGAGUUGAAAGAAAAAAAUCAUAUGUUCUAUCCAUUGGACAGUUGGAGGAACAUGAUUUUGAUAGUAAUCAAAAAAAGCUGAGACACUGUAUGAAUUCUAUGUUAAUUAUCUGUCAUAAUUAAUCAAUACUUCCAGGACAUGUAGUCCUUUAGGCUGAUAAAAUGGCUUUGUUAGUUGACCCUGUGAAUUUAAUUGACUCCACAGUUUAUGUCUUCAGUAGGAGGUAGUGAAGUCAUAGAACAGAGUCACUGAAUCCAGAAUUCACAAUAGGUUUGACAGCUGGUACAACUUUAGCAUGCCAUGUGAAGCUGGUGGAUUGUCUCUCUCUCUUUCAGCUCAAAGACUGAUAAUGACUGGGAGCUUUGUUAAGACCAAACUGAUACCAUGUCAUAACAUCUAUUAUCACAUCUAUUAUUUGUGCCCAUCCAAUGUGUCUACGACAGCAUUACAGUCUCAGGACAGCUGUACAAAUAAAGAGGAUGAAGAUGCUGUAGCUGGACAUUGUACAUGAAGAACAGCUUCAGAAAGACCUUUCAGUGAGGACAUCGGAGUGAUCCUGUUCCUACUCCACAUUCUGAGCAGCCAGCAUUUUGUGAUGUCUCUGACACAACACUACAGGAGUUAUCAAGGAAAUGACUUCCCAAGUAGAGAAAAUGGAGGAAAGUUUUCACUGUCUGUUGGAUGUAUCAGGAGAAAAUUACAAUCAUGGACUUUAUGGGAGACCUAAGAGGAAGAGAUGAAAAAAAUCUAAAAUCAUGAAGUUGCUCUUUGCCUCUAAUUAAAAACAUUGCUACCGCCUACUGGAAAACCAUACAUCCUGACUGGGAAAGAGAAGGCAGAAGAAAUUACCAAUUGGUCCAGACUGGCACUAAAAAAUAUGUAGAAUGCUUAUUGGCAUAUAAACUUUUGCUGAUGUCUUUCUCCCCUCAUUAUCUG